ACACAUAUCUGGCAGGGGCAAUACCUUGAUCAUGAAGGAGGUUUUCUCAGGGUGAGGUUUAUCCAUUGCACUCCAGGUGUGCUGACCCCUGCGAUUUCCCCAAAUGUGAAAAAUUCAACUGCAUAAUUUAUGGUAGUGGGGGACUGUGUUCAUGCUUAUAUUAU